AAUCCGCGCCGUCAUUGGGGAGUAGCCGCCCUCCGGAGCUCGGGAGGGGUGCGCGCCAACAUGCUCGGCCGUCCGGCCGUGGUGCGCACGGGUCCAUGGACCUGGCAAGACCUUUGACCCUGCUGCUGCCGUCAAUGGCCGGGGUGGCGCGGGGUCAUGGGUGUUCUGCCGGCCAGGACU
rnacentral:sRNA from 2 species